rnacentral:rRNA from 1 species
UGGGGAAUUUUGGACAAUGGGCGAAAGCCUGAUCCAGCAAUGCCGCGUGUGUGAAGAAGGCCUUCGGGUUGUAAAGUACUUUUGGCAGGAAAGAAACGUCGUGGGUUAAUACCCCGCGAAACUGACGGUACCUGCAGAAUAAGCACCGGCUAACUACGUGCCAGCAGCCGCGGUAAUACGUAGGGUGCAAGCGUUAAUCGGAAUUACUGGGCGUAAAGCGUGCGCAGGCGGUUCGGAAAGAAAGAUGUGAAAUCCCAGAGCUUAACUUUGGAACUGCAUUUUUAACUACCGGGCUAGAGUGUGUCAGAGGGAGGUGGAAUUCCGCGUGUAGCAGUGAAAUGCGUAGAUAUGCGGAGGAACACCGAUGGCGAAGGCAGCCUCCUGGGAUAACACUGACGCUCAUGCACGAAAAGCGUGGGGAGCAAACAGGAUUAGAUACCCUGGUAGUCCACGCCCUAAACGAUGUCAACUAGCUGUUGGGGUCUUCGGACCUUGGUAGCGCAGCUAACGCGUGAAGUUGACCGCCUGGGGAGUACGGUC